GUAGUUAGCCGGGGCUUCCUUGCAGGGUACCGUCAUUUGUUUCGUCCCCUGCGACAGAGAUUUACAACCCGAAGGCCUUCUUCUCUCACGCGGCGUUGCUGGGUCAGGCUUGCGCCCAUUGCCCAAUAUUCCCCACUGCUGCCUCCCGUAGGAGUCUGGACCGUGUCUCAGUUCCAGUGUGGCCGAUCAGCCUCUCAGCUCGGCUACCCAUCGCAGGCUUGGUGGGCUGUUAUCUCACCAACUACCUAAUGGGACGCGAACCCCUCCUUCAGCGGAUUGCUCCUUUGACCUCAUCCCGAUGCCGGGUCGUGGUCUUAUGCGGUAUUAGCACUUGUUUCCAGGUGUUAUCCCCCUCUGAAGGUCAGGUUGUUCACGCGUUACUCACCCGUUCGCCACUAAAAUUUAUCUUCCAUCCGAAAACUUCUGAUAAAUCUCCGUUCGACUUGCAUGUGUUAGGCACGCCGCCAGCGUUCGUCCUGAGCCAUGAUCAAACUCUGA
rnacentral:rRNA from 1 species